rnacentral:lncRNA from 1 species
CCACCUUCUUCCACCUUAAUAUUCUUAGAAUACAAACUCAUCUACUGUUCUACGUCUACCUUAACCUAGGAAGCCAUAUUUUUUUCUAAAUAGCUUCCUAUUAUAAAGCUUUUCUUCUAGGCAUAGAGCUUCUAGCUUGGCAGCAAUGGCUUCAAAUCAAAGAGAAAGGUGAGCUGAAUUAUGAAACUUGAAGCAAUAACUUACUGGGAAUUCAUGUUUUAAGUUUAAUUCUGUUAGCUUCAUUUUCUUUUGAUUAAUUUUUAUUAUGCAACUAUACUUAAACUUCAAGGUAGGACAAACUGAUCAAAGAAAGUUUGAGUGGCUUUGCGUCUGAAGUAGACUUCAAGUUUGGUCAUUAAUGCUAAUAUAGAGGGUUAGCCAAGGUUUCUUAGGGAAUAUUCUGGACCUCAGACUUUAGCUUAAUUAGUUUAUAUCCGUUUAGUUUUAAUUAUGCUUGCGGAGUAACAGUUAUAAACUUUCUUCAUGAUCUACCUAAGACUAGCAAGCUGGCUUUUAUCAGUUUAUGUGAAAACUGGACAUAACCUUAUAAGUUACUCAUAAUUAAUAGGAAGAAUUUUCUAAUGCAGUUUAGAAUUAAGCUGUAUUAAGAAGCUUUACUCCUUAUUAAGGUGGAUAACCAUGCAUUUACUAAAGGAUAUUCUUUGAACUGACAUCAAGUUUGCGACCUAUUACAUUUAUUUGAAUCAAUAUCAUAUGACGACUAGCAAAAUACUUUUGUUAUCGGACCUCCUAAGAACUUUCUCAUCUAGAGGUUCAGUUAUAUAUAUAUCAUACUUAAGUGUGUAACCAUCUCAUUUAAAGGUUAAAUUAUUUGACAUAAUAUACCUUUAUUUAUUUAAUUUGUCUUCAAUACACAUUCCUUUUUUAAAAAAUGGGCGACAGUGAGACUCGAACAACGGACCUCACGCUUCUCUUUGAGUUGAAAUCGACAAUAGAUUUAUGCUGUUAGAUUUUCAACUUUGAAUCUUGAAAUCAGAUGUAAAGAGAACUGAGGGAACAUUAUAUUAAGCUUCUUUCUCCCAAGUGGAUUUCUAGGGGUAUAGACCUAGUACACUCCUUAUAGGAGUACAACUUUGUCUUUUUGCAUUUAGUUUAAUGUAUUUCAACCUUCAUGCUAAAAGCAUUAUGAAAAAGCUUAAUGAUAUUACAACCUUCUGUGCACCUAGUUUGAUCAGCUUAUAGAAACCUUUUGCAGUUAAAGAGAGAGCAGAGACUUUUUUAUUUUUAUUUGAAGCCAUCACCUUCAGGCUAGAGCCUUUGGUUUGGGGGUUAGGCAAGACCCCUACCAUGUCUAUAUAUAAGCAAAAUAGUACAAAGUAGAGGGAGACAUGGACCUUACCUCUACAACCAAAAGUGACUUAGAAUUAUUACUUAGAAAUGUCAUCAGGAUCAAUUUCUUCUUUGGAUUAGACUAAACGGGAGGUUCUCAUUGUCAGCUUAGUAUUUCCCAACAAAUUCUUUAGUUCCAUCAGCUGGAGAUUUUCAUCUAAAUUUUUGCGGUUGUGGUGGAAAAAGAUGCAUUGUUAACCUUUCAAUCCAACAACAACAAGAACAACAUACACAGUGCGGUCUCACAAUUGAGGAGCUUACUCAGACCGUACUCCUACCUUGUGAAGAUAGAUAGGCUUUUUUCGAUAAACCUUUGGCUCAUGUAUAUAUAUCACACAAAGAUUUUUCGAGAUCACUCAAUUUCAUAAGUAGAACAAUGUGGCCCCUUUAGAGACAUCGAUAAAAUUGGAAAGAUACAAAAACUAUUAUCAUAACUUGUGUACAAGAAUGAUACACCAAAUCAAGAAUGGUCCAAACUAAUCUUUUUUGUAAAAAAGAAAGUACGUAGUAGAGCAAUAUGAGUGCUGCACUAAUGAAAAUACAUUAUCCAACAUCCCAGAAAUGCCAGAAGAUCAGGGACAGCUUACUUUUGUCUUCAGAAUACAAAUUUAUAUACGUAUUAGAAAGUCCUCUUUAGUUUUUUUUCCUUUUAAAUACUGGUUGCCUCGUAUAGAACAUACAAACUUUUAGCAGGAUGCCGACCAUUAAUACAUCACAUUUAAUUUGAGUUUUAUUAUGUACAGAAACUGAGGCAAUUAAGAAUAUUAAGUCCAAGCAUCAUAUAUUUUCUAUGAUUUAGCAUAUACUUAUAGAGUGACAUUACUUCCAGAGAUCAACUUGGGAACUUGAGGCAAGUUCUGAAGCCAUUUCUUGACUCUUAAAAUCAUUUUGAAGCUGCAGAUUCAUUUGUUCAGAAGCUGGAGAGCUAGAGCAAGCAACAGCAGAUGUCUCCAUUUUGCUGCAGCCAUCUUCUUGACUUAAUUGAGAUGCAACAAACUUAUCGAG